AAAACCAUUACAAAUUAGACACUCCUUAUCAUUUACAAACAAAGAAAUAUACAAAACAACUUAAAGUUUAUAAAUGGAAAUUAUUUAGCUAUAUAUUGCCGAACACAGAAAUCUUUUCAAAUGGAAAAUAUUAAUAUACGUCAGAGUGUGCUUUAUGCAAAUGCACAGACAUUAUCAACAUUUUUUAUCGAUUGUGAAUUUUUAAAAAGACUUGGGAAUAAAAUAACAGAUAAAAAUGAAUAUCAUAAACUUCUGUAAGAAAAUAAACUUAAUAGAUAUAGUCUUUGGAUAUAAAAUAGGAGACCGACAUUAUAAUGACAUAAAUCUUAUUAUAACGUUGAUAGGUUUCUCAAUUUACAAAUCAUUUUACACGUCGGAACAAAGAACAAAAUCCGCCG
rnacentral:lncRNA from 1 species